UUAUCUGUGCAGGAGAAUCAAGAAGCAGUCAGUACUGAAGUGAGUACAAUCCUUCAUCUCUUUGAGUGACUAAACUUUGGAAACAAACCAUCCCAGCGGUCUCUAAGGAAGAAAACUGACUACUUGAAGUAUGGAGAGAAACAAGAAAACCCUUUCCUUGUUUAUUCUGCUGCUACUGCUACUGGUCUGCAAAAGUGAGGAGUGUCCCCGCCUUCCAAAGAAUCUCACUUGCUACACUGACUACAAUAGAAACAUCACAUGUUUGUGGAAAAGCAAAUACGUGUCUGAUGACACUGCAUGCACGAUAGAUGCUCACUAUAAAUCUCGACGCCUUUCUUACAGCGCUUCCUGUCACCUAAAGCCUGUUGAUGUCUC